rnacentral:snRNA from 1 species
AGCUUUGCACCGUGGCAGUAUCAUAACCAAUGAAGUUAAUCUGAGGUGUGAUUUUGCUACUUGAAAAUCUGCUCCUCUCCCCUUCUGGUGGUAGAUGGUACAGUACUACUGUAGACGCAGAAAAUGUUACCAUCUCGCCUCUUUUUGUUACACUCACCAGU